rnacentral:rRNA from 1 species
CCCAACGGCGCGAUCUGAUUGCGCCUUCGACCGCGACCCCAGGUC